rnacentral:misc_RNA from 1 species
GAUGAAGAACGCAGCGAAAUGCGAUAAGUAAUGUGAAUUGCAGAAUUCAGUGAAUCAUCGAAUCUUUGAACGCACAUUGCGCCCUCUGGUAUUCCGGGGGGCAUGCCUGUUCGAGCGUCAUUAUCACCCCUCAAGCCUCUGGUUUGGUGUUGGGCUUUGGCGGUUCGUGAGAACCACCGGCCUCAAAUAUAAUGACGGCGUCCCCGUGAGACUCGACGCACUGAGCUUUUAACCACAAGGCACGCGUCCGUAGCGCUCCGGGUCGACAACCGGUCUCAACUUUUUACCAUUUUAACAAGGUUGACCUCGGAUCAGGUAGGGAUACCCGCUGAACUUAAGCAUAUCAAUAAGCGGAGGA